rnacentral:lncRNA from 1 species
GCCAGUUUUAGCCAUCCAGCUAAAUUACAAUCUUAUGUAAACAGAAAAAGGCCAGAACCUGAUAACAGAUCAGUACAACUAUUAAUAUCAUUCAUAGGAUACGUGGAACAAUAUGAGAUAAUUACAUAUAGGAUCGCUGUGUUUUGUGGUAUGUAUUGUUCAAUGUGACAUCCAUAGUAAAAUAGUACAACUUUGAAUGAUCAUUUAUCCAUGUACAGAAAGUGUAUUCAUAUGCAUAAUAAAAUGGUUUAUCAAUGGCGUAAUUAACGUCCACAACCAGGUGGCAAAAGGUAAGAAAUAAAGGCAUCAGUUGAACUCGGUUGCCAUUCAAGUAGCUUUUUGCUCUAAAUGUUUGCCAGGUAAAUAGUAAAUUGAUAAAGGAUAGUGCAUCUGAAAUUGCUGAAUGGCCGAUUGAUGACAAAAAUAAUACUGGUACUUAUUCUGAUCCUAUGAAACAAAAGACUGGUCCACAUUCCUGUUGGAAUUGAAUUCCCAACUCUGAAGAAAAUUACAUUCAUAACAGAAUGACACUGACAGGAUUAACAGUAUAAAUCUUUAUUUAUUAACUUCUACAGAGAAACAUUUUCUUUUAGAAAAACAGUUUAGAAACAUUUUUCAUCGUACUAAACAGAUCCGUACAAAAAAAAAGCUAACUAUGAAUUAAUGUUCAAAACAGUAGCUCUUUCACAGUAAAGAGGAGGCACAAUUUUAGCAUUGUGGUCUGUUACUUCCUGCCUUCAGUUGAUCAUUUGUUGUUGCCCGGGUAACAUGUUGAGGUCAAUGGUAUAAACCCUCAUCUCAUAUCUGCACCAGGUCCAUUGGUGUAAUAAAUUCAUUAAUAAAUAGGGCUUUGUGGGCUGGGGGCAGAGGUCAGUGUUCCAGAGAGGGUGUGGCACUUGGGGCCCUCUCCCUAGUCCUACACCUGACUGAUGAGCUCUGACUCGUCACCCACAAACCACUGCACCGGGGUCCCAUCCGCUGCCCUCCGGAGGACCUGUCUCUGGGGAGCCUGCAGGCAGAAUAACAAAAAC